rfam:Strigamia maritima strain Brora ctg7180001229077, whole genome shotgun sequence.
GUCAGGAUGGCCGAGUGGUCUAAGGCGCUGCGUUCAGGUCGCAGUCCAGUUCUUCUGGGCGUGGGUUCAAAUCCCACUUCUGACA